UUGUCCUGCUUUUCAAAAGGUAACCUAACCGUUUCAAAAGGGAAUGCCGUGAAAAUCGGCAACAGUACCUGCUGCUGUGAUUCUUGCGUAAACCUGGACAUGCAUUGCAAGCCACUGUGAAUCGAACUCAUGGGAAGGCGUCUGUGGGGAAAGAUCAGUCAGAAGACCUGCCCGGAAAAGCACAAGUAU
rnacentral:ncRNA from 2 species